rnacentral:rRNA from 1 species
UACGUAGGUGGCAAGCGUUGUCCGGAUUUACUGGGCGUAAAGAGCGCGCAGGCGGUCGUUCAAGUCGCGUGUGAAAGCCCCCGGCUCAACUGGGGAGGGUCACGCGAUACUGAUCGACUCGAAGGCAGGAGAGGGUAGUGGAAUUCCCGGUGUAGUGGUGAAAUGCGUAGAUAUCGGGAGGAACACCAGUGGCGAAGGCGACUACCUGGCCUGUUCUUGACGCUGAGGCACGAAAGCGUGGGGAGCAAACAGG